UACGAAGGGGGCUAGCGUUGUCCGGAUUUACUGGGCGUAAAGCGCACGUAGGCGGAUCGUUAAGUCGGGGGUGAAAUCCUGGAGCUCAACUCCAGAACUGCCUUCGAUACUGGCGAUCUAGAGUCCGGAAGAGGUGAGUGGAACUCCUAGUGUAGAGGUGGAAUUCGUAGAUAUUAGGAAGAACACCAGUGGCGAAGGCGGCUCACUGGUCCGGUACUGACGCUGAGGUGCGAAAGCGUGGGGAGCAAACAGG
rnacentral:rRNA from 1 species